rnacentral:rRNA from 1 species
CCUACGGGAGGCAGCAGUAGGGAAUAUUGGACAAUGGGGGCAACCCUGAUCCAGCUAUGCCGCGUGUGUGAAGAAGGCUCUAGGGUUGUAAAGCACUUUAGGUAAGGACGAAAAGAAUAUAAUUAAUACCUAUAUUCCGUGACUUAACUUACAGAAUAAGGACCGGCUAACUCCGUGCCAGCAGCCGCGGUAAUACGGAGGGUCCAAGCGUUAAUCGGAAUUACUGGGCGUAAAGCGCGCGUAGGCGGUUUGUCAAGUUGGAUGUGAAAUCCCUGGGCUCAACCUAGGAACUGCAUUCAAAACUUAUAGACUAGAGUACGAUAGAGGAGAGUAGAAUUCCUGGUGUAGCGGUGAAAUGCGUAGAUAUCAGGAGGAAUACCAAUGGCGAAGGCAACUCUCUGGAUCGACACUGACGCUGAGGUGCGAAAGCGUGGGUAGCAAACAGGAUUAGAUACCCUGGUAGUCCACGCCGUAAACGAUGAGAACUAGCCGUUGGAUCU